UUGUAAGAUGUAAAAAUAUGGCAAUUUCUAAGUUAUUACCACUCGACCAGAGUAAUAACCACUUAAUAUCAAUGUAUCAUCAUUGUAGAAACAGGUUACAGUAAUAUUACACUGAAAUGUACACUGAAAAAAGUCUAACAUGCAGUCAUUCAUUCAAUCUAAUAAGUGCCAUUCAAAACAGAAUAAAAUCAUUGAUUUGAUUGUGAAACCCUUUCUUUUUGCAUUUUAAAAUACCACUUUUGAUUUGGAUGAAACUAAAUAUCUGUACAAAGGAUACAACGCAAAGUUUUUGAUUUCUCUCAAAACAUAUAUUUCUUUCCAUGUUGAACAGAUAAUAUCUUUAAUUUGAGUCAGUGAUUUGCACUUGAACACGCCCACCAGAAAUAGACCGGGACCCAUUUUUAUUCUGCAUGGCUGCUGGAAACAUCGUGUCACAUCUUUGAUUAAUUUCAUCUGAAAAUAAACAACCACAGAUCGCUCCAUCCAUUCCAUGGCUGAAGCAUACAUUUUCAUUUAAUCUGAACAGGAUGCUGAUGCUGACAUUAGGAGGGAGUGUAUACUUAAAUCUCUUAUUAUCUACCUUGGAGAACGUGUUGAGGACUUGAUAAAAGAAUACAUGAUAUCCCAGAAAGAUGAAGCUGAGGAAGAGCUGCAGAGUACCACCAUGGCACUCUUCGUCUUCAGGGACAACUCAAGCCUCCUACAUCAGCCUCGAGACAUCGGGAUAAUCAUUGAUGGUGUGGAAGUCCUGAAUGAGUUGCCUUCUGUGGCAGCUGGAGUGGCAAUGGUCUUUGGACUCUGUUAUGCUCUUAAUAUGGAAUAUCCACGAGGAUUCAGCUUCACCUUUGAGGCUCUUCAAAAGAUUAUGAUGGAGCUUGACUUUAACAAGAUGACCUCUAAGAUUCGCAAACUUAAUUGUGAACUUAACACUGCACAGUAGUGUGUUUGCAUGCAUGUGUGCAUGUGUAUGUGUGCUUGGUUAUUUUGCUUGGUUGGCCUGCAGUGGUAUUCUACAUUCAAAAGUUAUAAGAACACCCAUUUGAAAGGGAGAUUUAAGUUGAUUUCAUUGAUACAUGUGUACAUUUUUUUUUUUACAUUGUACAGGCACAGUGCACAUAUAAACAUUUUUGAGUACUUGCAAAUUGGUUUAAAAAGAGUUUUGGUUUUAUGCCAGUUUUAGACAGGUUGCAGGUUUUAUACCAGUUCUAAAAAGAUUGCAGGUUUUAUACUGGUUUUCAAAAGGUUGCAGGUUUUAUAAAACAAACAUUUCUCUAAUCAUUUCUGCCGUAGCACUAAAUCUUUAUAUUACUAAUCCUCUCUAUUGAUUAUAGUUAAAAUGGUUUGGAACAAUAAAUAAUUUUGAAAUAA